rnacentral:rRNA from 1 species
UGGGUAACCUGCCUCAAAGAGGGGAAUAGCCUCCUGAAAGGGAGAUUAAUACCGCAUAAUAUGUUUUAAUCGCAUGAUUUUAACAUCAAAGGAUUUUCUUCGGAACUUCCACUUUGAGAUGGACCCGCGGCGCAUUAGCUAGUUGGUGAGGUAACGGCUCACCAAGGCAACGAUGCGUAGCCGACCUGAGAGGGUGAUCGGCCACAUUGGAACUGAGACACGGCCCAGACCUNUACGGGAG